UACGUAGGGUGCGAGCGUUAAUCGGAAUUACUGGGCGUAAAGCGUGCGCAGGCGGUUCGUUAAGUUCGUUGUGAAAGCCCCGGGCUCAACCUGGGAACUGCAAUGGAAACUGGCGGGCUUGAGUAUGGCAGAGGGGGGUGGAAUUCCGCGUGUAGCGGUGAAAUGCGUAGAGAUGCGGAGGAACACCGAUGGCGGAAGGCAGCCCCCUGGGCCAAUACUGACGCUCAGGCACGAAAGCGUGGGGAGCAAACAGG
rnacentral:rRNA from 1 species